rnacentral:rRNA from 1 species
AGGAACAUGUGGUUUAAUUCGAUGAUACGCGAGGAACCUUACCCGGGCUUGAAAUGCAUCUGACCGGCCUUGAAAGAGGUUUUCCCGUUCGGGGCAGAUGUGUAGGUGCUGCAUGGUUGUCGUCAGCUCGUGCCGUGAGGUGUCGGCUUAAGUGCCAUAACGAGCGCAACCCUCAUCAUUAGUUACCAUCAGGUAAGGCUGGGGACUCUAAUGAGACUGCCAUCGUAAGAUGUGAGGAAGGUGGGGAUGACGUCAAAUCAGCACGGCCCUUACGUCCGGGGCGACACACGUGUUACAAUGGGUGGUACAAAGGGCAGCUACCUGGCGACAGGAUGCUAAUCUCCAAAACCACUCUCAGUUCGGAUCGGAGUCUGCAACUCGACUCCGUGAAGCUGGAUUCGCUAGUAAUCGCGCAUCAGCCACGGCGCGGUGAAUACGUUCCCGGGCCUU